AAAAAGAAUAUAUCAAGUUAAAUGUUGAGAGGAACAGUGCAAUGAGACGCUGGUGUCAAUGCCACAAAAUAACCCUGCGAAACUUCCUUCGUACUCAUAUUGAAUUCCGGAACGGGAAAUGUUUCUAUCGUGGGAACUUCUUCUCACUGGUUAUUUCUUCAUUAUUUCGACGGUCUGGCGAGGCAGCGCGUGACAGUGAUAAGAGAAGUACAUUAAUCAUGACUGCAUGCGAUGCUUUCAGAAAAUAUUUGACAAAAGUUUAGAUUUUUUUUUUGCAGCUGCUGUGGAGAAUACAAAAUGAGAAUUAGCGGCUGCGGUGAUUCAUGAUUAUUACGAGUCAUUUCGAGAGACAUUGUGAUAGACUUCCCCUACAGUUCUAGGGAGAUUUCUAGGGAAAAUUGGAGAUGCAUUGCUGAAGAUUGAAAGGGAAAGGAUAUUGUAUCAGUGAGCUAGUGCUAGUGUGAGAAUCAUCAACAGAGUAGCUUUAAUCGAGAGAGGAGAGCAGAGAAGUACAAAUUGCUUUGGCGUGAAAUGGUGUUCUGGACAUGCACCUCAAGAAAUAACGGAUUCGAAUCAAACGAAACUCUUUAUGUGAAACUUAAGUUUUAUUGCGUCAAUAUACCUGAUGGACACGCUCAUCUGUUAAUGUCAAUUAAAAAAUCUCGAGGGAAGUGGAAAACGAGAGGUAAUUUAUCUCCAAUUUUGCCUCCAUAAUAGUUUCAAUAUUAUGAACUAAUUAUUAAAUGAAUGAUAAAUUAAUUAAUAGAGUAAAAUAAUAUACAAAUCCAUAAUAUAUUUAUUGGAGCGCUAGAUUCAUGAAAAUAAACAGUUGGAGAUAAGCUGACCUAUCUCCUGAUAAAAUAACUGUAAAUUUAGAAAUUUCAGUUUUUUGAAAGACACAAAAGCCUUGCAGAGCCCAGAGAUUUUAUUGUCGACUAAUAACCGUGCUGUUAAUUUUGUUAUUUUAACGAUGAUCAAAGGCGGCAGAUAAUCGACAUCAUUAACUCUGAAGUUCAAUAUUUUUCUCGUCUGUCAGAUUAUCGAAAAAGUUGUCCUGAAGUUCCCGGAUUUUCAGACCGGAAAGGUCAAUGUCGGUUGAGUCACAUUGGUGUUAUGCUCCACAGGAUGCCUUCCUCCGUCUUCGGGAGAAACUUUUAAUUAUAAGCUUCAUUUACUGUUGUCCAAUCCCAGGUGAGGGCCUCAUGCAGAAAGAUCAGUCCCCAUGUAAUCCUCGCUGGAGCUGAAAAUCCUUUCAAAUGCAGGAAAAUAAUUAGUGUAGAUGGAUUGUCAAGUGACUAUCUCAUUCCAAUUUCUUUUUUCAGAAUCAUCGAAGAAUUUUAAUUAAAGUCAGUCACUUAAUUAACUUUCCUUAGUCAGUAGUUCGGGCUCAGAUUUGUUGUAACCGACGAAUAACAUUCCCUCUUGUUGACACAUACCUCGGAGAAUCUAAUCGUAGGAGUUUUCACCCUCUGCACUCGCGUAAGGAUUGCGGAGCCUCGAUGAAGGAUUGAGGAAUGAACCCGGGAGAUGUUUCAUCGUCUUACGAAGAUGUUACCAGAUUUUUUCCUGUCUUUGAAAACAGAUGCGAAUAUUGGUGAGAGUAAAUGCCGACCAUCGACUUUACCAUAUUCAAUUUACAGUCCUGACCACAAGCCACAGGAAACAAUUCCAUGCGGUAUUUUAGGACCCCUUUGAUGUCAAAUCUCAC